AACAGACGCCCAGACAGAAGGUGACUGACUGUUGGUCUCAUAGCAAUGCUUGGGGUGAACUAAUUAGAAAAGAGGAUUUAAGAACCACAAAUGUCCCCAGGGAAACCAGGGCUAUGUGCCCUGUGUGAAUGUUUUACUGACACCAGCUCAUUUAAUCUUCUUAUCAACCUUAAGGGCGAAAACACCCUCACUGAUAACCUUGCCACGCGUAGUAGACAGAUGCAGCGCUACAAUCCCACUGUGGAGAGAUCUGGAGGACAGUGAUGGAGGAAAAUCUUCCCAGUGGGCAGAACAUGAACAGUUCAUCUGGUUGUUUGUUUUGCCUGGAAGGAGCAAUGGCUAGAGGCACUGUUGUGGUCUCUCCCAUUGCGGAGCACAGGCUCCAGACGCGCAGG